GAAACAGGGUCGACUCAUCGUCUCCCGCGUUCGCCGCCGCUGGAAUGCAAGUUGCCGCCCCCGUCCACCCCGCUGCAGCUUGGGAUUGAUCAUGCGAACCACUUAUUAGAAUAUCCAACAUUAACAGCGGGGACGCUAGGGAAGAUUAAGGACAAUGGAGCAGGAGGAUUAGCAUUUCACUUGAUGGCUGAACCUAAAAUGACAGGCAUGUCGACCACGACUAGUGCACGCAAGAGAAGGACCUGCAGCGAGCCAAAUGCAGUUUUAAUGAAGCAGUCAUCAUUAGAAGAUAGUCGCCAAAGCGACCCUGUGCAACAUUAUGAUAAUGCAGGUGUAAUGAAGAAGUCCUCAGUAGAAGAUAGAGCGCAAAAAAGGUUCCGGG